GAGAGAGAGUUCGGCUCUAUCGACCGAACGACGGCGAAUGAAAGCAUCGACGUGCAAAAUACUACUUACGUAUACACACAUAUACACAUACGUACAACUAUGCAUAGUCACUAUCGGAACUAACACUUCUUACUAGUACUGCGCUUUACUAGUAUUUACUUCUACUACUAUGACUUCUCCUCCUACAACUAUGAUCGUUUCCAAUGAACGAGAAGAAGUGCGGAGUACGGCAUUAGAAGAUUUAUCCUUUUGCGAUUCUUCUUCGAGAAAAUAGACAAGCUUAUGAUUUCUUACAUGCGAAACUCUUUUUCUCUCGAUGAAAGACUUUCAUCUCUACGACGUCUGAAUGCUCAUAAGGCCACACACCAGAUACUUCGUCCUUCGGGAAAUUCGAUAAAAAGACGCUUGACCUCGAAAAGACUACUCACAAUCGAGCCGAUAGGUCGAACGGUGACAAACGAUUAUUCUUUUACCCUUUCGAUACAAUUUUACUCGGUUCAAUGUGAAAAGCGUAUAAUUUCUUUAGUACCAAUGUGAUACAGGACUGAAAUAGCGAACAUUUGAGAAUUUCUACGUCGCUUCGAUCAUAAGCUUGGGUGGACCACUCUAUCAAACCGAAAGGGAAAAGAAAAGAGCACUUAUCUGAAAAAGUUACUCGACGACCUUUACCCACGUAUCAUCGGCAAAACUUUGUUCUUUACGGCAGGACGCCCACGUUGUCCGGAAAAUCCAUUUUUUAUUAUCAAGAAUCAUAUUUCGAAACUAUCUGAUACAAGCUUAGGAUGAAAAUUAGAGAUGGAUGAAUAAUUGUUAGUAAUAUGUGCUGCCCUCUGUAAUAAAACAAUCAUAUCGAUUUUUUAAAGAAUUAAAAAUAAUUUGAAUCGUACUAUAUCAAUAAUAAUGUAUAGAAAAUAAUUAUUACAAAAUCAAUAAUAAGCAAUUUCUACACUGUGUAUAUGCGUGCAACGAUUCUUUUAUUUUAACAAUAUAAUAAAAAAAUGAAAUCAA